rnacentral:lncRNA from 1 species
CGUUUGAGAAGCUCCCCUUCUAUAAUCGAUGUUGUGAGUAGUAUUGAUUUAAAUGGACAAUAGAUGGACAAUAGACACCUGUAAACAAUAGGUCUUUUAAACUGUGUAGCGGAGGGGACCGUUUCAAGUGAAAUUCGUGUGUUUGUUUAUUUUGCUAUCUUCUGCAGACUGGAAAAAAUGCAAGUCAAAAUCCAGGUAAGUCAUUAAUUUUCUGAAACAUAGACUUCAUAUAACUUUUAUAUACCUAGGUCCAGCCAUGCCUUAACACUUUCCUAGAUGCAUCAGUUUGUCUGUACUCAUAGUAAAUUUUAGUAAAAACGGCCAUAUUUUUCAAUUCCUUCAGAUGAACCUUAAAGAAGAUACAUUAUCCUAUAUCAGACCCUAGUUUGUGCCCCCGAAUACUUACCUACCUACCCUUAUUUUGAAAAGGUUGUUACCGGAAACACAUAUAUUUUUUUAUACCUCACUUUCAGGUAAAGAGAUGGGAUUUUUUUCUGAGACAAGUGCUUGUCGGACCAUCCGCAAGAACUUGCGGUCAUCCGAUGUUUAGUACUUCAGUACUUGCAUUUGUUGAAGUUUUCUAGUUUCAUACAAAGACAUAUAAUUUAACAAGGAUGAUAUUUUGGCAAAUAAUAAGUCCAUCCUGGCUUCAAUGAACAUUACAUGAAACAACAAAUCGAAGUACUUACCUUGUUAGUAUUGGAUACCUAAGCUUCACAAAAUUCCGUACAGACAACUGUACACUGCCGGCUCAUCUGCAUGUUCCACUAAAGAAUUGUCUAUUAGAUUGACUAGAAUUCUGUCCGCAGUGAAAGAGGUUCUUCAGAAAUACUGUAAAAACUGUUUACUCGCGUAGUGGUAUUAAUCAUAAGUGCAUGAUUUAAAAGUUCGAUAGAAAAGGAUAAUGUUAAAUCUCGCUCUUUUCCUGAAAUUAGUUCUAUCAAAACUUUUAAUUUUUUAACCCUGUAUACCACCAUUUCC